rnacentral:rRNA from 1 species
ACAUCCAGAGAACUUAGCAGAGAUGCUUUGGUGCCUUCGGGAACUCUGAGACAGGUGCUGCAUGGCUGUCGUCAGCUCGUGUUGUGAAAUGUUGGGUUAAGUCCCGNAACGAGCGCAACCCUUAUCCUUUGUUGCCAGCGGUUCGGCCGGGAACUCAAAGGAGACUGCCGGUGAUAAACCGGAGGAAGGUGGGGAUGAUGUCAAGUCAUCAUGGCCCUUACGGCCAGGGCUACACACGUGCUACAAUGGCGCAUACAAAGAGAAGCGACCUCGCGAGAGCAAGCGGACCUCAUAAAGUGCGUCGUAGUCCGGAUUGGAGUCUGCAACUCGACUCCAUGAAGUCGGAAUCGCUAGUAAUCGUAGAUCAGAAUGCUACGGUGAAUACGUUCCCGGGCCUUGUACACACCGCCCGUCACACCAUGGGAGUGGGUUGCAAAAGAAGUAGGUAGCUUAACCUUCGGGAGGGCGCUUACCACUUUGUGAUUCAUGACUGGGGUGAAGUCGUAACAAGGUAGGCGUAGACGU